rnacentral:rRNA from 1 species
AGGACGAACGCUGGCGGCGUGCUUAACACAUGCAAGUCGAGCGGAAAGGCCCUUCGGGGUACUCGAGCGGCGAACGGGUGAGUAACACGUGAGUAAUCUGCCCCUAGCUCUGGGAUAGCUCCGGGAAACCGGGAUUAAUACCGGAUAUGACCACUUUAGACAUCUGCUGUGGUGGAAAGAAUUUCGGCUAGGGAUGAGCUCGCGGCCUAUCAGCUUGUUGGUGGGGUAACGGCCUACCAAGGCGACG